rnacentral:rRNA from 1 species
GACGAACGCUGGCGGCGUGCCUAACACAUGCAAGUCGAGCGGAGUCAGUAAGAGGAAGUUUUCGGAUGGAAUCUUAUUGAUUUAGCGGCGGACGGGUGAGUAACGCGUGAGCGACCAACCUUACACAGGGGGAUAACGGACCGAAAGGUUCACUAAUACCGCAUGAGACCACGGUGUUGCAUGACACAGGGGUCAAAGGAGCAAUCCGGUGCAAGACGGGCUCGCGUCCGAUUAGGUAGUUGGUGGGGUAAUGGCCCACCAAGCCUAUGAUCGGUAGCCGACCUGAGAGGGUGAUCGGCCACAUUGGAACUGAGAUACGGUCCAAACUCCUACGGGAGGCAGCAGUGGGGAAUAUUGGGCAAUGGGGGAAACCCUGACCCAGCAACGCCGCGUGAAGGAAGAAGGUUUUCGGAUUGUAAACUUCUGUCCUUGGUGAAGAGAAGAAGACGGUAGCCAAGGAGGAAGCCCCGGCUAACUACGUGCCAGCCGCCGCGGUAA